rnacentral:rRNA from 1 species
GAUGAACGCUAGCUACAGGCUUAACACAUGCAAGUCGAGGGGCAUCGGGGGUAGCAAUACCUGCCGGCGACCGGCGUACGGGUGCGUAACACGUAUGCAACCUACCUACAACAGGGGGAUAGGCUCUUGAAAGAGAGAUUAAUACCGCAUAAUACAGGGAUACCACAUGGUAAUAUUUGUUAAAGAUUUAUCGGUUGUAGAUGGGCAUGCGCAACAUUAGAUAGUUGGAGAGGUAACGGCUCCCCAAGUCAACGAUGUUUAGGGGUUCUGAGAGGAAGGUCCCCCACACUGGAACUGAGACACGGUCCAGACUCCUACGGGAGGCAGCAGUGAGGAAUAUUGGUCAAUGGUCGGGAGACUGAACCAGCCAAGUAGCGUGAAGGAUGACUGCGUUAUGCGUUGUAAACUUCUUUUGCAGGGGAAUAAAGUUCAAUACGUGUAUUGUUUUGUAUGUACCUUGCGAAUAAGCAUCGGCUAACUCCGUGCCAGCAGCCGCGGUAAUACGGAGGAUGCAAGCGUUAUCCGGAUUUAUUGGGUUUAAAGGGUGCGUAGGCGGUAUAUUAAGUCAGUGGUGAAAUUUUGCAGCUCAACUGUAAGAUUGCCAUUGAAACUGAUAUACUUGAGUGCAAAUGAGGUAUGCGGAAUGUGUAGUGUAGCGGUGAAAUGCAUAGAUAUUACACAGAACACCGAUUGCGAAGGCAGCAUACUGGGAUGCAACUGACGCUGAUGCACGAAAGUGCGGGUAUCAAACAGGAUUAGAUACCCUGGUAGUCCGCACAGUAAACGAUGAUUACUGACUGUUUGCGAUAUAUUGUAAGCGGUUAAGCGAAAGCGUUAAGUAAUCCACCUGGGGAGUACGUUCGCAAGAAUGAAACUCAAAGGAAUUGACGGGGGCCCGCACAAGCGGAGGAACAUGUGGUUUAAUUCGAUGAUACGCGAGGAACCUUACCCGGGCUUGAAAUGCAAUAGACCGGCAGAGAGAUCUGUUUUCCAGCAAUGGCUAUUGUGUAGGUGCUGCAUGGUUGUCGUCAGCUCGUGCCGUGAGGUGUCGGCUUAAGUGCCAUAACGAGCGCAACCCUUGCCAUUAGUUGCCAUCACGAGAGGUGGGGACUCUAAUGGGACUGCCACCGUAAGGUGUGAGGAAGGUGGGGAUGACGUCAAAUCAGCACGGCCCUUACGUCCGGGGCGACACACGUGUUACAAUGGGGGGUACAGAGGGCAGCGACAGCGCGAGCUGAAGCCAAUCUCAUAAAACCCUUCUCAGUUCGGAUAGGAGUCUGCAACUCGACUCCUUGAAGCUGGAUUCGCUAGUAAUCGCGCAUCAGCCAUGGCGCGGUGAAUACGUUCCCGGGC